CACCGCGCCAAGCUCUGAUUGACGUUCGUGGAGCCAAUCAUAGCUAGGGCCUGAGGUGGGCGGAGCCGGGGCGCCCUGCGUGCCCCGGGACGCGCUUGCCUAGAACUCCCCCGUCCGGCAGCAGCCCCCGCGGGGGACAGCUGGCUGGCCCAGCUUCUCAGCUCCUCGGAUGGCCCUCCCUGAAACGCCAGUGCCCAGUGGGAAGACCCGGACCGAAGCGGUCCCUGCAGGUGGAAGCCCGAGGCUCCAUGGGAGGUCCCUUAUUGUCCCUGAGCGCCUGCCCGGAUGAAGAGGGCAUCCCGUGGCUCUGCAAAUACCUGAAGAACGCGCGGGUGACGCUAAGGCAGGAUGAGGUUUGGGGAGAAUCAUCGUGGACAUAAAUGCUGGCCUAUUUGUGCAGGGUGCUCUGGUCAUUGGAGAGGACUUUGAAUAAUAUAGAUGCAAAGUUUGAGUAAAAGCCAGUGAAAUUACCAGGCCUCUUCAGCUUGGCUUGUGGGUUUCCCACACUAAAAAGGUGAGGUUCACAAUAGCCACCACUGGUAAGCUAGGGAGACUCACAGAUGUGCUAGAGAGGAUGGAACGAAGUGUACCCUUGGGAAAGAAGGCAAGUCGGCCUGGCAGGCAGACAGUGUGGCCAAAAAGCCGCUGCAUGGGGGUCAGCACAUGCAAGUGAGUUCCUGCUGCUGCUUGGAUUGGAGGAGGUGUGGCAAGACGCUGGUGAAAACUCAUCCUGAUGGCCAGUCUGAGAAGCAGUCAAGAUGGAGAACUGCAAAAUCUGCACUACGUGUUUUCUGGGAGUCCCUGUACCCAACAACAGGCUCCACCAGGGAUGGCCAGCCCCUGUGUGCUGAGCUCCACAGGCCUGGCCUGCGUUCAGAUCUCCCCCUACUUCUUCACAUGGACAGGGAAGCUGACCCAGGAGCUCCAAGAGUGACCAGAAGGGCACCCAGGCACUUGAGAAACAGUUACCCUUUAUCUAAGAGAUCCACUUCAAGAACUUUCUCCUUGCAUUUCCCAAAAUUUUCCUCUGGGACUCAGUGGGAGGAAACCAGGUCCCAGAGUUGAUUAAAAACAAAUAAACCGGGCACCUGGAUGGCUCAGUA